UUCAACUGCAAGAAGCGCAUUUGCAUUAGUAUUUGAAAUGCGCAGUGAUGCUAUCACCACAUUAGAACGUCGCCAGCAAGGCGGUACAGUAAGGUGGAACGGUAUGUCAGAAUUGCCGUUCGGCCAUUACUUGAGUUCGGGUUGACAGCGGCCAAACGGUUUUAAAAACCAAGAGCUAUUUGGCUGUCAUGAAUCGACGGGUCUGCGCCAUAAACGAGGAAAGGAAGCAAAACAAAGAGCUAGAAAUCAUGCAUACGAUUGUUGCAAUUCUGCAUAUGAACCCCUAGAGCUUUUCGCAGUAGCUUGGAUUGCGCGUGCAAAUGUUUUACAAAGUGAGUUUGCUGCCAGUUUGCUUUUGAAUUGCGUGGAUGAAAUGAUGUGUAUCCCAUUGUAUGAAGCGUUUACUGUUCUACGUCGUCAGCCCUAACAGCAAUGCAAAUCAUUGUUUCAAUUACUUACAAUAUGAGGCGCUAGAGAUUUUCGCAGCAGCUCAGGUGUGUUUGAUCGGACUGGAGUAAUCGAUGCACAAUUUUGAAAAUCGAUUAUAUAUGAGGCUCACACCAUUUUCUAUUUCAAUGUGAGACUGCUGAAAUUUUAAUAAAAUUUGCCAUUAAAAAGAGAGGAAGUAUGCAGUCACAAGAAGAGAAUUUAGAAGUGUAUUGAUGUCAAGAAACAUUCUUGCAAUGGACCAUGUACAUCGUAUACACUGUUUUUGGGACUUAUCCAUAAGAGUAGCCAGAGGUCGAAAAUAAUUACAUAUGUCUAAUUUGUUUUCAAUAAGUUGGAGUUAGAGAUUGUAAA